GGAAGGAGCCUUUUGGUUUGAUUUUCUUUGCAGAGAAAAUGGAAAGGAAAAGACUACAUAAUUUACAGAUGCUGAUUGAAGAUCCUUUUCCUUACAUCAAAGCUGGUGGCCCUUCUGACUUAUGCCAGUUAACUAAUACCUGUGUUUUGGACUCAUUGCUAGCUGCUUUUCAUACAAGUUGCAUUAAAUAUCCAAAUAUAGACUCUCUUUUACAUAGUAAUGACUUUUUUGCAAAGGUUAGGUCUUUAUUAAAUAAAAAAAAGUAUAUUAAGACUCGAAAUCUCUGUGUGGAAGAGCUAAAUCUUAGAAAACUUGACCUUUAUGGUAAUGUCAAAGAUUAUUUCCCACUGAUUAGUAAACUGGCAUGUUCAGAAAUUACUUAUAGGAAAAAUGCCCCGAAGGACUUGGCCAUCUACAAAGAAAUACCCAGCAUACCUAAGAUUUACGAUAAAGUAUUUGUCAUGGGUGACCCAUCUGAUCCAACUCUAAUUCUGGUUCAUUGUAAAAAUCAUUUUAAUUCCAAGAAUACUGAAUGGCCACUUUGUGUGAAUGUGAA